GAACUUGGCCACGGAGCCGGCCCCUGAGGCUCUUCUUUCUUCCUAGGGCCCAAAUGGGGUCAUACACAGAGUUCUUAGAUCCUUGACCACACCACUGGUAGAGGCGGUGGGAGGAGAAGCAGAAGAAGAGCAACCAAGAAACAGCAAUUUAACAAGGAUAUAUGGAUCGAAACACCUUUAUGAAAAGUUCAGAAUCCAGUUAAGGAGUCAUAGUACUCCAGAUGAGCACAAAACAGAAAAUCACUGCAUUAAAAUAGGAGAGACUAUGUAUAGGAGAUUGGGUCCUAGAGAUAGGCUAGCCCCCAGCAGGGGAGGGUCCCAGAAGUCUUAUGUCUCUGAGGUGCGGACAAAAGAAAAACCUGUGACCGGCAAGCUAAAACAAGAUUAGAGGCUGACGG
rnacentral:lncRNA from 1 species